GAUGAACGCUAGCGGCAGGCCUAACACAUGCAAGUCGAGGGGUAGAGGAAGCUUGCUUCCUUGAGACCGGCGCACGGGUGCGUAACGCGUAUGCAAUCUACCUUGUACAGAGGAAUAGCCCAGAGAAAUUUGGAUUAAUGCCUCAUAGUAUAUUGAUUCGGCAUCGGAUUAAUAUUAAAGUUUCGGCGGUACAAGAUGAGCAUGCGUCCCAUUAGUUAGUUGGUAAGGUAACGGCUUACCAAGACAAUGAUGGGUAGGGGUCCUGAGAGGGAGAUCCCCCACCACUGGUACUGAGACACGGACCAGACUCCUACGGGAGGCAGCAGUGAGGAAUAUUGGGCAAUGGGCGGAAGCCUGACCCAGCCAUGCCGCGUGCAGGAAGACGGUCCUAUGGAUUGUAAACUGCUUUUAUACGGGAAGAAACACCCCCUCGUGAGGGGACUUGACGGUACCGUAAGAAUAAGGAUCGGCUAACUCCGUG
rnacentral:rRNA from 1 species